rnacentral:tRNA from 1 species
UCCUCGGUAGCUCAAUGGUAGAGCGACCGGCUGUUAACCGGUUGGUUGUUGGUUCGAAUCCAGCCCGAGGAGCCA